rnacentral:lncRNA from 1 species
UUAAUUUAUCUCAAAUAAAUUAAAAUAAUGUUUUUAUGUCAUUAUUUGCACAGUGAAUUCUACAAUAGGACCAUCACCCACCCCAGCUAAUGAUUCUAAACCAGCAGAGAAUUCUACAGUUAGACCGUCACCCACUACAGUUACUGAACCUAAACCAAC